rnacentral:rRNA from 1 species
AGAGGGGAUCCUGGCUCAGGAUGAACGCUGGCGGUAUGCCUUACACAUGCAAGUCGUACGAGAGUUUUUAACUCAAGUGGCGGACGGGUGAGUAACACGUAAGAAUUUGCCUUUAGGAGGGGGAUAACAACUGGAAACGGUUGCUAAUACCCCAUAUGCUUUAGAGUGAAAUGGAUUUUCCGCCUAAAGAGAAGCUUGCGGCUGAUUAGCUUGUUGGUGAGGUAAUGGCUCACCAAGGCGACGAUCAGUAUCUGGUUUGAGAGGACGAUCAGACACACUGGAACUGAGACACGGUCCAGACUCCUACGGGAGGCAGCAGUGGGGAAUUUUCCGCAAUGGGCGAAAGCCUGACGGAGCAAUACCGCGUGAGGGAUGACUGCCUAUGGGUUGUAAACCUCUUUUUUCAGGGAGGAACCAAAUGACGUGUACCUGAAGAAUAAGCAUCGGCUAACUCCGUGCCAGCAGCCGCGGUAAGACGGAGGAUGCAAGUGUUAUCCGGAAUCACUGGGCGUAAAGCGUCUGUAGGUGGUCAAAUAAGUCAACUGUUAAAUCUUGAGGCUCAACCUCAAAAUCGCAGUCGAAACUAUUAGACUAGAGUAUAGUAGGGGUAAAGGGAAUUUCCAGUGGAGCGGUGAAAUGCGUAGAGAUUGGAAAGAACACCGAUGGCGAAGGCACUUUACUGGGCUAUUACUAACACUCAGAGACGAAAGCUAGGGUAGCAAAUGGGAUUAGAUACCC